rnacentral:lncRNA from 1 species
AUGCUCCUGGGGACUGUCACCAUCCUAGAACCAGCCCUGCUUGGCUCCUGCCUUCCUGCAGCUGCUCCUUGGCGUUUUAUCCCCAGCCUGAGGAUGAAGGGGUUAGCUGCUCAUUCCCAUCCAUCGCUAAAAAUCCUAAAUCAGGAGCUGAUCUUCAGGGCUCAGAGAGAGAUUGUGCCUCCUGACUCCAGCUGCUGGCAGCGUUUUAAAGCACCAGAGGCGGCUGGGACACACUCAGCAACAUGGCUGCUGCUGGGGGCUGGGGCGCACCAUGGGGGGAGAGCUGAAGAAGCACAGAACGUGACAAUAAAGAUGAGGAACAGAGGUACGGAGAGCUGGAAGCAGCUGGAGGAGAAUUGCAAUGAGGUGACAAGAAGCCAGCGCUCAGCAGCUGCUCUGUGCACCCAGUGGCCCAGCACGCUGCGUGAGGCGCUGUGUGCGUCUGGCUUGGUUACUUUAAAUAAGUAUUGUAAUAAUGUGGGGGACACCGCUCUGCAACGCACGGUUAGACGUUCAGGUGGGACGCUGGUGUUCUAGCUGGGGUGCUGAGGUGCUGUUUGGGGAAACCUGCUGUGGUUUUCAUGGCUGCACCAAGGCUGUGACCAGCCUUGAGAGUGGCCACAGUGGCUGUGCUCAGCGGCAGGCGACCCCUCUCCUGGGACACAACAGGCUUGGAGACCCCAGGGAUCUUAAAGACAAGAGCUGGGGAUAACGGCCAGGUGCCUGAAACCACAGGGGGAGGUUAUGUGUCCCAGUAGCACAGCCACAAUGAGAGGCAGGCCGGGUGCUUUGCUGCAGUACAAGUGUGGGAUCGCUGCAGGCUUUAUUGCUCCUCCGUGCCCCCUUGCAGGCUGCUGUCCUCCUCCUGAGCUCUGCCACCAGCUGCAAAACCACCUGCAGGGGUUGAGGGGAGCCCGGAGACCAGUGAUGAGUUAACCACAGCUCCUGGGCCUCUGCCCAUGAGCACAGCUCUGUAAUUCUUCCCCUGUAAAGUACUUGUUUACAGCCUGAUUUUUCACCACGUUAUCUCUGGUGUCUGUGGCCAAAUGCUCACAGGCUUUACUUCUCAGAGCAUGGUCAAAGAGGUGAUCCGCCUGUUUCUGCUCUCUCUUGCUAAGGUGACAAUUUUGUUCUGUAGGAAGAAUACAGGUUUCUGCUGCCAGGGAUUUACUGGGAAACUGAGCUGUGGGUUGGCCUCCAAGAGCUGGGCAGGCACCAUAAAAUUCCUCCUUCACCGAAAUCCCCAUCUGACUCCUGCCAAAUGCAUCCAGAAGCUCGCCAAGCUUGCCUUACACUCCUUUCCACGCUGUGAGAGGUGUUUCGUUGCACAGAGCUCUGGAUGCCCAGGGCCUGGGUAGGGAUGCUGUAAUGCCACCGGGGCUGAGGGGUGACUUACCCUGUGACUUGAGAGAUUUCUCCUAUGCCAGCUUUGGAAGUUCCAUGCUACCAAGAAAUAAUGAGAUACCAUCCAUGUCCCUGGUGCAGGCAGGGGUUAAGGACUGUUCCUGCCCCAGCUGAGCCUGGAGGGAAGCAGGGC